AUUGAACGCUGGCGGAAUGCUUUACACAUGCAAGUCGAACGGUAGAGGGGGCAACCCCUCGAGAGUGGCGAACGGGUGAGUAAUAUAUCGGAACGUGCCCAGUCGUGGGGGAUAACGUAGCGAAAGUUACGCCAAUACCGCAUACGAUCUAAGGAUGAAAGCGGGGGAUCGCAAGACCUCGCGCGAUUGGAGAGGCCGAUAUCAGAUUAGGUAGUUGGUGGGGUAAAGGCUCACCAAGCCAACGAUCUGUAGCUGGUCUGAGAGGACGACCAGCCACACUGGAACUGAGACACGGUCCAGACUCCUACGGGAGGCAGCAGUGGGGAAUUUUGGACAAUGGACGCAAGUCUGAUCCAGCCAUUCCGCGUGCAGGAUGAAGGCCCUCGGGUUGUAAACUGCUUUUGUACGGAACGAAAAGGUCUCUCUUAAUACGGGGGACUCAUGACGGUACCGUAAGAAUAAGCACCGGCUAACUCUGUGCCAGCCGCCGCCGUAA
rnacentral:rRNA from 1 species